AUGGAAACCGUGCAUCCUGAGAGCACCAGGUUUUCUUCGUGGUGAUGGGGGCGCUGAGGAAAGAGGAGAACAAAGUGUUACCUCUACCCAAGACUCCUAAGUGGGAAAAUGAAAUCUAGCUAAAAGGGUGUCGUGUUUCAAGAAGACACUGAACUCAUCUGAUCCAUUCAACAACUUCAAGAGAUGGGUUUAAGGAUCCCCAUAGACACCUAGGCAGUCAGGUUCACAAAGCGAAAUGGGACAGCAUACGUGACUCAACAUUUCCCGAAGCUCUACAGCCUUCUUUACAAUGACCAUUCAUUCGUCUACCCAAGGAAAAACUUCAUCUCUGGAUUACUAGUUGUUUUGCUUUGUUUUGUUUUUCCCCUAACGGGAUCUCCAAAAUUGUUGUGCUCUAAAACUACUCCAAAGUACCAACAUCACCUCUACAGCACAACAACACACCUGGGCCCCUUAGUACCUUGCCCCAUGAUGGGAGGGAAAGACCUUGUACAAGAACAACAAAAUUCCCCAGGG